rnacentral:tRNA from 1 species
ACUAUUUUGGCAGAAAAAAUGUGAUGAUUUUAGAAGUCAUUAAUAUAUAAAUUAUUAUAUAGAUAGUA